CCUACGGGAGGCAGCAGUGGGGAAUAUUGGACAAUGGGGGCAACCCUGAUCCAGCAAUGCCGCGUGUGUGAUGAAGGCCUUAGGGUUGUAAAGCACUUUCACUGGUGAAGAUGAUGACGGUAACCAGAGAAGAAGCCCCGGCUAACUUCGUGCCAGCAGCCGCGGUAAUACGAAGGGGGCGAGCGUUGUUCGGAAUUACUGGGCGUAAAGGGAGCGCAGGCGGUUCAUUAAGUUAGGCGUGAAAUCCCCGGGCUCAACCUGGGAACUGCGCUUAAUACUGAUGAACUAGAAAACAGGAGAGGGUAGUGGAAUUUCCAGUGUAGAGGUGAAAUUCGUAGAUAUUGGAAAGAACACCGGUGGCGAAAGCGGCUACCUGGCCUGAUUUUGACGCUGAGGCUCGAAAGCGUGGGGAGCAAACAGGAUUAGAUACCCUGGUAGUCCACGCCGUAAACGAUGACAGCUAGAUGUCGGGGGGUCGCCCCUCGGUGUCGCCGCUAACGCAUUAAGCUGUCCGCCUGGGAAGUACGGUCGCAAGAUUAAAACUCAAAGGAAUUGACGG
rnacentral:rRNA from 1 species